AAACCAACAGGGAUUGCCUCAGUAACGGCGAGUGAACAGGCAAAAGCUCAGAUUUGAAAGCCUUUCGGGGCAUUGUAUUCUGAAGCCAGUGUUCUGAGAACCGAUGUUUAAGUCUUCUGGAAAGGAGCGCCAUGGAGGGUGAUAGCCCCGUAAGACAUUGACCUCAUUGUAGAACUCUGGCGUGGAGUCGAGUUGUUUGGGAAUGCAGCUCAAAAGGGUGGUAUGCUCCAUCUAAAGCUAAAUAUCUGCGAGAGACCGAUAGCGAACAAGUACUGUGAAGGAAAGAUGAAAAGAACUUUGAAAAGAGAGUGAAAUAGUACGUGAAAUUGUUGAAAUGGAAGGGUAGGCCGCUAACCAUGUAGAACCGUGUUUGGGGGGAGGAUAAAAGCCAAAGAAUGUGGCUCUUCGGAGUGUUAUAGCUUUGGUCAAUACUCCCAUCCGGGCGCGAGGAUCUCAGGUUCUACUAAAUGGUGGUCUACCAC
rnacentral:rRNA from 1 species